rnacentral:lncRNA from 1 species
GCGCAUGCGCGCGCCCCAGGGCCCAGCCCUGUUCCUGCUCCGGCUCCUGCGGGGAUGGAUGCUUCACGCAGUAAGCGACCUAAGUCGCGGAAGCGUAGACACCCGGCUUUUCCCGCGUGCUCUAUCGGGCUCCCCUGGACACGGAGGGUGGAGCAGAAAGAGCAGAGGGGCCGGUGGGAGCCAUGGGGAGUCCGCCUAGCUCCAGAGGACACCUUACCUGGAUCCGCCUUUGUAGCCUCCUCCUGGCUCUGGGGGCUGUCCUGUGGGGUCCGAGUAGCUGAAAGACAGCCCCUCCAUGUGAGGAAGCCCCCAACUGGGGAAAACCCCCUCGUGGACUCAUUCCUGUCCCUGCAUGUGGCCUUCACCUGACUGUCUGCAUUGAGGCAUCCUCUGCCAAGAGCAAUUUCAAAGUGGAAAGUGCUGCUUUCAACAUCUGCCACAUUUGCAAGAAGAGCAAAGGUGGCCCAUUUGAGACCACCCUUGAACUAAACCAUCCAGUGAGCCCCUGAGGUCGGGACAGAAGUGGCCAUGACCUUCCUCAAGCAGGGACUGUGGUGGAGCCCACCUUAUCCAGCACAAGGUGGCCUGCUGACUUCUGGUGACAGUGAUGCCAACUUCCUGGCUGUCCAAGGUUCAAAUCUUGGUCUUAAUCCUCCUGGCCUUCUCUCAUCAAUGGCCAGAGCCACCCUAGCUAACAAGGUGCCCAGGGACUCCGGGGUGGGAGAAGUCCAGCUUCUUCUUAGCUGAGGACAUUUGAGUCUCGUCACAGCCCCCAAAAGAAUACUCAUUUUUGUAGCUGGAGGGCCUGGCCUCUGUCUAUCUUUGCUUUUCCAGAAGCUGACAAGUACCUGCCGGAAAAACUGCCUCUUUUCCCUCCCGUGCUUGGAGCAGGCAUUGCUGACAGAUCACAGCUGCUGGGCCCAAAGGUCCCUUUGCACGCGGGACUUCAGGAAGUUGCUGCUGACCUAUGGGAGUUGGUGCAGAAAGAUGAAAUUUGUUAUCCUUGGCUGUAUCAACUCUCUCUCCUCUCCUUGGUGGUGAUAGUUUUGUUCUUAAAAGCCUCUUGUGAGAGAAUUUGUGGAUGAAGAACCUGUAAGAUCACAAGUGAAACAAUUUAUUGAUGUCAAUAGAUUUAUACACGUUCAUUAAGAAUCAAAACUAAACUAAAACAUCAGUCUGACUAAAGAGACCACCACAGAUAUUUCAUAUGCUGUACAUCAGUAACAAAGGGUACCAAAUAGUUAAUAUCCAUGUACUAGUCACAUGAGAAAUGUUUUAGGGUCAUUGACCAGUGUAGUCAGUACAGUGGUCCCAUGGUAUUUGUGGGGGAUUGGUUCCAGGAAUCUCUUGGACACCAACUCCGUGGAUGAUCAGACAAUAUAAAAUGUGGGUCAGGUGCGGUGGCUCAUACCUGUAAUCCCAGCAUUUUGCGAGAAUCACUUGAGGCCAGUUCAAGAUCAGCCUGUGCAACAUAGCAAGACUCCACCUCUAAAAAAAAAAAAAAAAAAAAAAA